ensembl:lncRNA
CCCUCAGCUCCAACUCUGCUGUGACUUGUCUAAAACUGUAAUUCUAUUUUCUUUUGUUUUCUUUAUUGCUUGUUUAAAAAAAAAAGACAACUUUAUUUAGUAACUCUAUCACCCCUUUCUGUACCCCUUCAAGUUCCCUCCUGUAUUUAUUUUUAUUUUUUUUCUGCUCAUUUCUACCAGGAGUGUUUUCAAAGUGGGGUUUUGGGUAGUAAAACUUCUGAGGCUGCUUCAUAGGUGAUACACUUUGAUUUGUGAUUCCUACUCUACCCUUAAAAACGAUUCAAUGGAAUAAUCUUCUGCCCCAGUCAGCUCUCACUGUUCACUUCCUUGUAGGUCAGAGUGCAAUAGGCCCUUUGAAAUCAUAAUCUCAAUGCUUGUAUUUGAAUGUGUCCACUCCCAGAAAUGAAUCACAAUGACAAAUCUGGAUUAGUGUCAAGCCUUCCCCAACUCUCAUUUUGAGCCGUUUGGCUCUGAAGCCAGCAAUGGCAUGAAGGGUAUGGCUGGAUUCUUCAUUCCUCCAUCUGUCCUCCACCUGGGGAACUCUGGCUUUCAAUCUCCUUGCUGCUUUCUGUUUUGAUUUCCCCCAAGUUCUCAGGUAGAAGAGGAAGACAGAGGAGGGAUAAAGAUAGAAAUGGGCCAGAUGACCCCUUCAGUAUAUUGGUAUUCUCCAGUCAACAACCUCAAAACUCAUCAAACAGUAUGAAAAGAGAAAGGAAGGUCAGAGACGAAGGCCUGGAUGAGCAAAGAGGGCUACAACUUCUCAAUAACAUGAGCAAUGGAAUUCCUUUCUCCUAGUCCAAACAGAAGACAUAGUCAUAAAGCAAACCAUGUUUUAUUAUAUAUAUAACUUUAGGCUUGAUCCAAAAAGGAUUUGAGUCUGUGUACAGCAAGGGCCAGGGGUAUGGAAAUUCACUAAAAAUAAACAGUAAAGCAGAAUCGUAAGAAUAAGAAAAAGGGAAAGACUGGGAACUUCGCAGGAUAAUAUAAUUCUCCUCGACAUGGUGGAGGAUCAUAUUGGACUCUGAGUUUUCCAGCAGUGGCAAAUAUGGGAGUAUACAAUUCUAUAGCUCUUAUUAUGUGAGCAGCAAAAACUCUAAUAAAAGUUGAUUAAAGAAGAUAAAAGUCUUUGUGGGGAUUAUUGUACUUCUACUUUGUUGGGUUUUUCUUUUCCUUUUUCCCCUGGGGCUGUAUUUUUAAAUAAACACCUGAUUUAGGACUUGACAUAACGAACAUUGAAAAGCAGAAAGGACAAAGUCCCUCUCCUUUGGAGUGUGAGCUUUCUGGGGAGGGACCACGGUAUUCUUCAUUUUCAGAUCCUAGAGUACAGGGAUAUGACUGGGUAGAAGCUCACAAAUGAGUGCUGGAUGAAUGAAUCAGCGUAUCACAGACCGAUUGAUUGUAGUCCUAACAGCAAAUACCAAAGCAAACUUCAUACAACUAAUGCUGAUAACAAUGCUUGCAAACACCUCAGUAUGUGCUCUUAAAGAGCAGAUCAGUGAAGGUAAGGAAUGUGACCCAAGUUAAAAGGCUUUCAUUCAUCUCAUUUUGAGUGAAUAGAAGUAGACCAUAGGAGAGGCAGCACCAAUAUUCAGCCUGAUCAUGCCAGCAUGGCUGACCCAUUUGUUUGUAGUCAGAGUCCAUUGUAAUUGGUUGAUGGAUGUUGACUAUUCUGAAUAUCCACUGCAGAGGAGGAGGGUGUACCAUUCUUUGCUUGAACUCUUUUCAUGAAUUCACUUCUUUCAUUUUAAACUAUUUUUAAAAUAAUAGAAACCUUGAAUGCCACUAUAUUUGCCACUGU